GGAGUAUUUGUAGCUCAGGGGUAGAAAAUGUGCUUUGCAUGCAAAAAACAAGAAGACCCAGGUUCAAUUCCUGGUAUCUCUA